UACGAAGGGGGCGAGCGUUGUUCGGAUUUACUGGGCGUAAAGGGCGCGCAGGCGGCAGAUCAAGUCAGGCGUGAAAGCCCCGGGCUCAACCUGGGAACUGCGUUUGGGACUGGUUUGCUAGAGAUCGGGAGAGGAGAGUGGAAUUCCCAGUGUAGAGGUGAAAUUCGUAGAUAUUGGGAAGAACACCGGUGGCGAAGGCGGCUCUCUGGACCGAUACUGACGCUGAGGCGCGAAAGCGUGGGGAGCAAACAGG
rnacentral:rRNA from 2 species